UACGUAGGGGGCGAGCGUUGUCCGGAUUUAUUGGGCGUAAAGAGCUCGUAGGCGGUUUGGUAAGUCGGGUGUGAAAUCUCCACGCUCAACGUGGAGGGGCCACUCGAUACUGCCAUGACUCGAGUCCGGUAGAGGAGUGUGGAAUUCCCGGUGUAGCGGUGAAAUGCGCAGAUAUCGGGAGGAACACCCGUAGCGAAGGCGGCACUCUGGGCCGGAACUGACGCUGAGGGGCGAAAGCGUGGGGAGCAAACAGG
rnacentral:rRNA from 1 species